rfam:Thelohanellus kitauei scaffold05557, whole genome shotgun sequence.
GGGGGCUUAGCUCAGAUGGUAGAGUGCUCGCUUAGCAUGCGAGAGGUGACGGGUUCGAUCCCCGUAGCCUCCA